rnacentral:rRNA from 1 species
AUUGAACGCUGGCGGAAUGCUUUACACAUGCAAGUCGAACGGUAGAGGGGGCAACCCCUCGAGAGUGGCGAACGGGUGAGUAAUAUAUCGGAACGUGCCCAGUCGUGGGGGAUAACGUAGCGAAAGUUACGCUAAUACCGCAUACGAUCUAAGGAUGAAAGCGGGGGAUCGCAAGACCUCGCGCGAUUGGAGCGGCCGAUAUCAGAUUAGGUAGUUGGCGGGGUAAAGGCUCACCAAGCCAACGAUCUGUAGCUGGUCUGAGAGGACGACCAGCCACACUGGAACUGAGACACGGUCCAGACUCCUACGGGAGGAAGCAGUGGGGAAUUUUGGACAAUGGACGCAAGUCUGAUCCAGCCAUUCCGCGUGCAGGAUGAAGGCCCUCGGGUUGUAAACUGCUUUUGUACGGAACGAAAAGGUCUCUCUUAAUACGGGGGGCUCGUGACGGUACCGUAAGAAUAAGCACCGGCUAACUACGUACCAGCAGCCGCGGUAA